GAUGAACGCUGACAGAAUGCUUAACACAUGCAAGUCUUUCGCGAAGCUGUUCUUGCACUGCCUAGCCAAGGCGGACGGGUGAGUAACGCGUAAGGAACAUGCCCUGCAGUCAGGGAUAAUAGACGGAAACGACUGAUAAGACCUGGUAAAGUCAGCCGGACUCAUGUCCAGCCUGAUGAAAAGAGAUGCUGCAGGAGAGUCUUGCGUCCUAUUAGCUUGUUGGUGGGGUAACGGCCCACCAAGGCGAUGAUAGGUAGCCGGCCUGAGGGGGGGGACGGCCACAAGGCGUCUGAGAUACGGCCGUUACUCCUGCGGGAGACAGGAGGGGAGAAUAUUGGACAAUGGGGGCAACCCUGAUCGAGCAAUUCUGUGUGCACGAUGAAGGUUUUCGGAGUGAAAAGUGCUUUCAGCAGGGAAGAAAAAAAUGACGGUACCUGCAGAAGAAGCGACGGCUAAAUACGUG
rnacentral:rRNA from 1 species